UUUAUAUAUUAUAUGUUGUGUUUGUGAAUGAAGGAGAUUUAUUGGAUGGGGCACGCGCGAGACAAAUUCGAAAUUUUAAAUGAGCAAGUCUAACGGACUUUCGGAGAAUCUUGAGUACUGCGCAUGCGCAUCAUUUUGUUCUGUAACGGUCGACUUCCAGCAGACGGACACGGAGUAAAAGCAGCUGGAGGAGAGACAGCCUGUGCAGCAACAACAAGACAACAAUGAUUAUAAGCAGGGAUAAUCUCCAGGUGGACUGCACGGGUCCAGGAUCAAGAGAUCAUUCAUCAUGCAGACCAUGUUCCAGGAGAAGCAGCGUAUACUGGGUCUGCUUGAUCAUUUUGUUGUCCUGGAUGUGAGAACAUGGUCAAAAGAAAGAUGUAUUUUUGAGGAGGCUGCAACAAUGACUAAAGGCAGGGACACACUUAACGACUGUAAGGCCGAUUAUAAAUAAACUAAUAAACUGAUCUUGCCCAAACACGUCGAGUCAGAGCCAGUUGCGUUCAGUCUGUUUAUAAUCUGUAAGUAUUUAAAUCCACUUCAGUCGAAGGAAACAGUUUUUAAGUGUGUGGAUUUCAGUCUUAGAAUGUUUCUUCUAGUCGUUCAGUGUGUCCCCAGCUUGAAGUAAUCAUUAAAAUGUAAGUUCUUUGAGAAUUUGUGCACUGUUUAUUAUCUAAAUGUAAUAAUGUACACUGCCAAUCAAAGAUAUUGAGAUUUGGAAGAUGUUGCAAAAUUUAAUUUACUUCCUUUGAUGGAAAAUUUUCGGCAUCAUUUUUGUAGUCUUCAGUGCCACUUGAUCUUUGAUUAUUCUAAUAUGCUGAAUUGAUGCUCGGACAUUUCUUUUGAAAUGUGCUGCUUCAUAUUUUUGUGUUCUUGAGCAUCAAAUCAUCAUAUUAGAAUGAUUUCUGAAGGAUCAUGUGACACUG